rnacentral:pre_miRNA from 1 species
AUUGGCGGAGGCGGGUGUGCUGUCUGGUGCGUGUGUUUCACCAUGACUAGAUAACACAUUCGUCUCUGCCUCU